rnacentral:rRNA from 2 species
CACCGGCGGCUCGAGUGGUAACCGUUAUUAUUGGGUCUAAAGGGUCUGUAGCCGGCCGGAUAAGUCUCUUGAGAAAUCUGGCAGCUUAACUGUCAGGCUUUCAGGAGAUACUGUCUGGCUCGAGGCCGGGAGAGGUGAGAGGUACUUCAGGGGUAGGGGUGAAAUCUUGUAAUCCUUGAAGGACCACCAGUGGCGAAGGCGUCUCACCAGAACGGACCUGACGGCAAGGGACGAAAGCUAGGGGCACGAA